rnacentral:rRNA from 1 species
CAGACCACCAGCUAAGGUCCCAAAAUAUAUGUUAAGUGGAAAAGGAUGUGGCGUUGCCCAGACAACUAGGAUGUUGGCUUAGAAGCAGCCAUCAUUUAAAGAGUGCGUAAUAGCUCACUAGUCGAGUGACACUGCGCCGAAAAUGUACCGGGGCUAAACAUAUUACCGAAGCUGUGGAUUGUCCUUUGGACAAUGGUAGGAGAGCGUUCUAAGGGCGUUGAAGCAUGAUCGUAAGGACAUGUGGAGCGCUUAGAAGUGAGAAUGCCGGUGUGAGUAGCGAAAGACGGGUGAGAAUCCCGUCCACCGAUUGACUAAGGUUUCCAGAGGAAGGCUCGUCCGCUCUGGGUUAGUCGGGUCCUAAGCUGAGGCCGACAGGCGUAGGCGAUGGAUAACAGGUUGAUAUUCCUGUACCACCUAUAAUCGUUUUAAUCGAUGGGGGGACGCAGUAGGAUAGGCGAAGCGUGCGAUUGGAUUGCACGUCUAAGCAGUAAGGCUGAGUAUUAGGCAAAUCCGGUACUCGUUAAGGCUGAGCUGUGAUGGGGAGAAGACAUUGUGUCUUCGAGUCGUUGAUUUCACACUGCCGAGAAAAGCCUCUAGAUAGAAAAUAGGUGCCCGUACCGCAAACCGACACAGGUAGUCAAGAUGAGAAUUCUAAGGUGAGCGAGCGAACUCUCGUUAAGGAACUCGGCAAAAUGACCCCGUAACUUCGGGAGAAGGGGUGCUCUUUAGGGUUAACGCCCAGAAGAGCCGCAGUGAAUAGGCCCAAGCGACUGUUUAUCAAAAACACAGGUCUCUGCUAAACCGUAAGGUGAUGUAUAGGGGCUGACGCCUGCCCGGUGCUGGAAGGUUAAGAGGAGUGGUUAGCUUCUGCGAAGCUACGAAUCGAAGCCCCAGUAAACGGCGGCCGUAACUAUAACGGUCCUAAGGUAGCGAAAUUCCUUGUCGGGUAAGUUCCGACCCGCACGAAAGGCGUAACGAUUUGGGCACUGUCUCAACGAGAGACUCGGUGAAAUCAUAGUACCUGUGAAGAUGCAGGUUACCCGCGACAGGACGGAAAGACCCCGUGGAGCUUUACUGUAGCCUGAUAUUGAAAUUCGGCACAGCUUGUACAGGAUAGGUAGGAGCCUUUGAAACGUGAGCGCUAGCUUACGUGGAGGCGCUGGUGGGAUACUACCCUAGCUGUGUU